rnacentral:piRNA from 1 species
UGGUGAACUAGGUGUCAAGGAGUCUCCCA